rnacentral:rRNA from 1 species
GACGAACGCUGGCGGCGUGCUUAACACAUGCAAGUCGAACGGACCGGCCCUGCUUUUGUGGGGUGCUCGAGUGGCGAACGGGUGAGUAACACGUGUGUAACCUGUCCUUGACUUUGGGAUAAGUUCAGGAAAUUGGGGCUAAUACCGGAUAGGAGCUCCUGCGGCAUGGUGGGGGUUGGUAAGAUUCGGCGGUUGGGGAUGGACUCGCCGCUUAUCCGCUUGUUGGUGGGGUAGUUGCUUAGCAAGGCUUUGCAGGGUGGCCGGCCUGCGAGGCUGAGCGGCCACAUUGGACUGGGAAUGCGGCACAGACCCCAACGGUAGGCAACGGAGGAGAAUGUUGCACAAUAGGCGGAAGCCUGAUGCAGCCUCGCCGCGUGGGGGAUGACGUGCUUCGGGUAGUAAUCCGAUGUCGCCUCAGACGAGGCGUGAGUGACGGUACUGGGUGAAGAAGCCCCGGCUAACUACGUG